rnacentral:sRNA from 12 species
ACUGUGGAGUGUACAGGGACCUGCGAGUAGUGUGCUGCCUGCAGCCACAAAAGUAUACACGGUGAAGCAGUAA